rnacentral:misc_RNA from 1 species
AACGCACAUUGCGCCCGCCAGCACUCUGGCGGGCAUGCCUGUCCGAGCGUCAUUUCAACCCUCAGGCCCCCCGGGGACUGGUGUUGGGGAUCGGCCCGCCCUGGCGCGGCGCCGUCCCCGAAAUACAGUGGCGGUCUCGCUGCAGCCUCCCCUGCGUAGUAGCACACCUCGCAUUGGAGAGCGGCGCGGCCACGCCGUGAAACCCCAACUUCUGAUAGUUGACCUCGGAUCAGGUAGGAAUACCCGCUGAACUUAA